rnacentral:ncRNA from 1 species
CAGUGGAGGUAGGUUCCACCCAGAGAGUUGUCGAUUGAUCUGGGUAGCUGACGAGCGGUUCGGUUGGGGGACUGGCCGGACCGAAGCCUCGUGACAAAGGCCGCCAUGGGCGGUUGAGCGAUCCGGCGGGCCGUAACGCGA